CCGGUUGUGAUCGAGAUGACGACGACGACGACGAUGUUGGUGAUGAGUUCCACAAGUGAGCGGUGCGUAUUACUCUCCGGAGCGUCUCAUGAUCCAGAGAAUCACGGUGCGUGACGUCAUUUAUGGACGGCCCCUAACUCGGGGAGACGGGACAGUGCGAGGAGGAACUCUCUGACACCGUGGCAAUAGCCAGCGCGGACGCGACCCCAAGCGACGCUCGCCCUCACUCAUCCAGAUUCAGGCUUCCAUCCCCCCCAUCCCUCCCCCGGAGGGUUCUCACCCUCCUCACCCUCCUCACCCUCCUCACCCUCCUCCACCGCACGGCGGCUCCACUGGGACGUGAGAAAGGGACAUCGAGCGGGUUGCACGCCGCUGCCAGUGCGAAAAGGCGGACGACCGCGUGGCGGUGGAUCGUGACGCGCACCGAGAGUCUGUGACGUAUGGGGGGAGGGGCGAGGCCUGAGGGGGGGGGGAUCGAGUUAGUGGGCUGUAGUUGUUAAUUGGCGUCAUCACCAUCGUCACAACAUAUCCAGUACGAUAUUAACAUAAAUUAAAGUGGCAUUAAUUAUCGUGAUAAUGUUAUUGCAUUUUUUUUUUAUUAUCAAUCAUAAAAAGCGAUCGAUAAUGAUUAUACUAAUCACGAAUCAUCGAUCGAUGUGCUGUGCC